GUACUCCGGGGAUAACAGGCUGAUACCGCCCAAGAGUUCAUAUCGACGGCGGUGUUUGGCACCUCGAUGUCGGCUCAUCACAUCCUGGGGCUGAAGUAGGUCCCAAGGGUAUGGCUGUUCGCCAUUUAAAGUGGUACGCGAGCUGGGUUUAGAACGUCGUGAGACAGUUCGGUCCCUAUCUGCCGUGGGCGCUGGAGAACUGAGGGGGGCUGCUCCUAGUACGAGAGGACCGGAGUGGACGCAUCACUGGUGUUCGGGUUGUCAUGCCAAUGGCACUGCCCGGUAGCUAAAUGCGGAAGAGAUAAGUGCUGAAAGCAUCUAAGCACGAAACUUGCCCCGAGAUGAGUUCUCCCUGACCCUUUAAGGGUCCUGAAGGAACGUUGAAGACGACGACGUUGAUAGGCCGGGUGUGUAAGCGCAGCGAUGCGUUGAGCUAACCG
rnacentral:rRNA from 1 species